UACGUAGGUGACCAGCGUUGUCCGGAUUUACUGGGCGUAAAGAGCGCGCAGGCGGUCGUUCAAGUCGAGUGUGAAAGCCCCCGGCUCAACUGGGGAGGGUCACUCGAUACUGGUCGACUUGAAGGCAGGAGAGGGAAGCGGAAUUCCCGGUGUAGUGGUGAAAUGCGUAGAUAUCGGGAGGAACACCAGUGGCGAAGGCGGCUUCCUGGCCUGUUCUUGACGCUGAGGCGCGAAAGCUAGGGGAGCAAACGGG
rnacentral:rRNA from 1 species